rnacentral:rRNA from 1 species
UGGGGAAUCUUGGACAAUGGGCGCAAGCCUGAUCCAGCCAUGCCGCGUGCGGGAAGAAGGCCUUCGGGUUGUAAACCGCUUUUGUCAGGGAAGAAACGCUCUGGGCUAAUACCCUGGGGUAAUGACGGUACCUGAAGAAUAAGCACCGGCUAACUUCGUGCCAGCAGCCGCGGUAAUACGAAGGGAGCUAGCGUUGUUCGGAAUCACUGGGCGUAAAGCGCACGUAGGUGGGCAGUUAAGUCAGGGGUGAAAGCCCGAGGCUCAACCUCGGAAUUGCCUCUGAUACUGGCUGUCUAGAGUUCGAGAGAGGUGAGUGGAAUUCCUAGUGUAGAGGUGAAAUUCGUAGAUAUUAGGAAGAACACCGGUGGCGAAGGCGGCUCACUGGCUCGAUACUGACACUGAGGUGCGAAAGCGUGGGGAGCAAACAGGAUUAGAUACCCACGUAGUCCCUGAGCGGGCUGGCAAGGCGCAU